GUCUUUAAGAUUAUAAUUUAAAGUCUAAUCUGCUCCAUGAUAAAUAUAUUAAAUAGCUGCGGUAAUUUGACUGUGCAAAGGUAGCAUAAUCAAUAGUUUUUUAAUUGAAAGCUAGAAUGAAUGAUUUAAUGAAAUAUAAACUGUCUCAAUAUUAUAAAUUUAAUUUUUUAUAUUAAUAAAAAAAUUAAUAUGAAUUUAAAAGACGAGAAGACCCUAUAGAUUUUAAUUUUUAUAUAAAUAUAUAAAUAAUAUAUGUAAUAUAUAUAAUUUAUUUUUUUUUAUUAUAUAUAAUUAAAAAUUUGAUUGGGGUAAUUAAUAAAUUUAAAUAAUUUUAUAAAUUUAAAACAUUAAUUAAUGAAAAUUUGAUUUUAAAAUUUAAAUUAAAAGAAUAAAAUACCUUAGGGAUAACAGCGUAAUUUUAUUGGAAAGAUCAUAUUAAUAAUAAAGUUUAC
rnacentral:rRNA from 1 species